rnacentral:rRNA from 1 species
CCUACGGGAGGCAGCAGUGGGGAAUUUUGGACAAUGGGCGCAAGCCUGAUCCAGCAAUGCCGCGUGAGUGAAGAAGGCCUUCGGGUUGUAAAGCUCUUUUGUCAGGGAAGAAACGGACUUUUCUAAUACAGAGGUCUAAUGACGGUACCUGAAGAAUAAGCACCGGCUAACUACGUGCCAGCAGCCGCGGUAAUACGUAGGGUGCAAGCGUUAAUCGGAAUUACUGGGCGUAAAGCGUGCGCAGGCGGUUUUGUAAGUUUGUCGUGAAAUCCCCGGGCUCAACCUGGGAAUGGCGAUGAAGACUGCAAGGCUAGAGUUUGGCAGAGGGGGGUAGAAUUCCACGUGUAGCAGUGAAAUGCGUAGAUAUGUGGAGGAACACCGAUGGCGAAGGCAGCCCCCUGGGUCAAAACUGACGCUCAUGCACGAAAGCGUGGGGAGCAAACAGGAUUAGAUACCCUGGUAGUCCACGCCCUAAACGAUGUCUACUAGUUGUCGGGUCUUAAAUUGACUUGGUAACGCAGCUAACGCGUGAAGUAGACCGCCGUGGGAGGUACGGUCGGCGAAGUAAGUUAAAACGUUAAAGUUAAGUAAGUUAGUUAGGACGUUGAGACGUGCGACGGACGACGACGAGGGAGGAGG